ensembl:lncRNA
GGUGAACAACUGGUCUAUCCCUGAGAUAUGUUGACCGCCACCGGAUGCUGGACUGAUCCACUGAGGGUCACGGGGGAACCUGGAGCCUAUCCCAGGGAGCAUCGGGCACAAGGCGGGGUACACCAUGGACAGCGUGCCAAUCCGUCGCAGGGCUUUUCAUAUAUCUGGUUCACAAUAUGGUUUUCUAAAAUGACCCGUGGGAGAACUGGAGCUGCUGGGUGUGUUCUGUAUACCAAACGUAAUUAUAUAGCGAGCAUAAUUUAAGUCUUAACUACAUUCUAAGCUAAAGGGUGUGUGGUCCAUUGGGUGCUGCACACCUCAGCAUCGGAGCUAUUAUUAUAAUAUUAAACCUAACGGCGCAUCUGACAGCAUAUGAAGUCAUCUACAGCCUGCAGCUGUGAUGAGCAUCUCAUCAGGUGCUUUAAAGCCAUCUGUUAAUUUACGUGGAUGCUAAGCUCGUAAAAUGGCCGCAGCGGUUUAAUUUUAAUACUUACCCCUGCAAAUUAUUAGGACACACAUGAGCAGCCGGGAUCAUUUUUCCAGGCUGGUCUGAGUCAUGAAUCAAAAGAACUUGCGCUUAGCUAAGUCAGGUUUUAGGAACAAGUCAAAGAAAGAAAGAGAGAAAACUU